rnacentral:rRNA from 1 species
AGCGUAGACGGCAAGGCAAGUCUGAUGUGAAAACCCAGGGCUUAACCCUGGGACUGCAUUGGAAACUGUCUGGCUCGAGUGCCGGAGAGGUAAGCGGAAUUCCUAGUGUAACGGUGAGAUGCGUAGAUAUUAGGAAGAACACCAGUGGCGAAGGCGGCUUACUGGACGGUAACUGACGUUGAGGCUCGAAAGCGGUGGGGAGCAAACA